rnacentral:tRNA from 1 species
GCUAUAGCCAAACGGUAAGGCAGCGGACUCUGACUCCGUCAUUUUGUAGGUUCGAAUCCUACUAGC